AGAACGAACGCUGGCGGCAUGCCUAAUACAUGCAAGUCGAACGAACACUUCGGUGUUAGUGGCGCACGGGUGCGUAACGCGUGGGAAUCUGCCCUUGGGUUCGGAAUAACAGUUGGAAACGACUGCUAAUACCGGAUGAUAUCGAAAGAUCAAAGAUUUAUCGCCCAGGGAUGAGCCCGCGUAGGAUUAGCUAGUUGGUGAGGUAAAGGCUCACCAAGGCGACGAUCCUUAGCUGGUCUGAGAGGAUGAUCAGCCACACUGGGACUGAGACACGGCCCAGACCUCCGUACGGGAGCAGCGAGGUAGGGAAUAGUUGGACAAGUGGGCACGAAGCCUAGACUACCGAGAC
rnacentral:rRNA from 1 species